rnacentral:rRNA from 1 species
GACGAACGCUGGCGGCGUGCCUAAUACAUGCCAGUAGAACGCUGAAGGAGGAGCUUGCUCUUCUGGAUGAGUUGCGAACGGGUGAGUAACGCGUAGGUAACCUGCCUGGUAGCGGGGGAUAACUAUUGGAAACGAUAGCUAAUACCGCAUAACAGUAGAUGUUGCAUGACAUUUGCUUAAAAGGUGCAAUUGCAUCACUACCAGAUGGACCUGCGUUGUAUUAGCUAGUUGGUGGGGUAACGGCUCACCAAGGCGACGAUACAUAGCCGACCUGAGAGGGGGAUCGGCCACCCUGGGACUGAGACCGGGCCCAGGCUCCUACGGGAGGCAGCAGUAGGGAAUCUUCGGCAAUGGACGGAAUUCUGACCGAGCAACGCCGCGGGAGUGAAGAAGGUUUUCGGAUCGUAAAGCUCUUUUGUAAGAGAAGAACGGGUGUGGGGGUGGAAAUUUCACCCUGUGACGGUAUUUUACCAGAAAGGGACGGCAAACUCAGU